rnacentral:rRNA from 1 species
AGCAGCCGCGGUAAUUCCAGCUCCAAUAGCGUAUAUUAAAGUUGUUGCAGUUAAAAAGCUCGUAGUUGAAUUUCGGGGUCAGCAAGUUGGUCGUGCCACCGGUAUGCACUGGCUUUGCUGAUUCCUCCUUCUUGUAGAACCGUAAUGCCAUUAAUUUGGUGUUGCGGGGAAACAGGACUGUUACUUUGAAAAAUUAGAGUGUUUAAAGCAGGCUAACGCUUGAAUACAUUAGCAUGGAAUAAUGAAAUAGGACGACGAUCCUAUUUUGUUGGUUUCUAGGAUUGACGUAAUGAUUAAUAGGGAUAGUUGGGGGCAUUAGUAUUCAAUUGUCAGAGGUGAAAUUCUUGGAUUUAUUGAAGACUAACUACUGCGAAAGCAUUUGCCAAGGAUGUUUUCAUUAAUCAAGAACGAAAGUUAGGGGAUCGAAGACGAUCAGAUACCGUCGUAGUCUUAACCAUAAACUAUGCCGACUAGGGAUCGGAUGAUGUUAAUU